CUGGCGGCGCGCCUAACACAUGCAAGUCGAGCGGUAGCACAGGGAGCUUGCUCCUGGGUGACGAGCGGCGGACGGGUGAGUAAUGUCUGGGAAACUGCCUGAUGGAGGGGGAUAACUACUGGAAACGGUAGCUAAUACCGCAUAACGUCGCAAGACCAAAGAGGGGGACCUUCGGGCCUCUUGCCAUCAGAUGUGCCCAGAUGGGAUUAGCUAGUAGGUGGGGUAAUGGCUCACCUAGGCGACGAUCCCUAGCUGGUCUGAGAGGAUGACCAGCCACACUGGAACUGAGACACGGUCCAGACUCCUACGGGAGGCAGCAGUGGGGAAUAUUGCACAAUGGGCGCAAGCCUGAUGCAGCCAUGCCGCGUGUAUGAACAAAGCCUUCGGGUUGUAAAGUACUUU
rnacentral:rRNA from 1 species